CAAGGAAUAGUUUAAUAAAAAUUUUAAUUUUGGAGAUUGAAGAUGGGGUUUAUUCCUUUUCCUUGA
rnacentral:tRNA from 1 species